rnacentral:rRNA from 1 species
GACGAACGCUGGCGGCGCGCCUAACACAUGCAAGUCGAGCGAAGCGGCGGACGGGUGAGUACCACGUGAGUAACCUGCCUUAGACAUUGGGAUAGCCUCGGGAAACCGGGAUUAAUACCAAAUGGUCUAAGAUGGACUCGCGUCCCAUUAGCUAGUUGGUGAGGUACCGGCCCCACAAGGCGACGAUGGGUAGCCGGCCUGAGAGGGUGAACGGCCACAUGGGAACUGGGAAACGGUCCAAACUCUACGGGAGGCAGCAGUGGGGGAUAUUGCACAAUGGAGGGAACGAUGAGGCAGCGAGGCCUCGUGAACGAAGACGGCUUGCGAGUCGUAAAGUUCUUUUAUAUGGGAAGCGGUACCAUAAGAAAAAGCCACGGCUAACUACGUGCCAGCAGCCGCGGUAAUUC